AGUGAACGCUGGCGGUAGGCCUAACACAUGCAAGUCGAACGGCAGCACAGUAAGAGCUUGCUCUUACGGGUGGCGAGUGGCGGACGGGUGAGGAAUACAUCGGAAUCUACUUUUUCGUGGGGGAUAACGUAGGGAAACUUACGCUAAUACCGCAUACGACCUACGGGUGAAAGCAGGGGAUCUUCGGACCUUGCGCGAUUGAAUGAGCCGAUGUCGGAUUAGCUAGUUGGCGGGGUCAAGGCCCACCAAGGCGACGAUCCGUAGCUGGUCUGAGAGGAUGAUCAGCCACACUGGAACUGAGGCACGGUCCAGACUCCUACAGGGAGCAGCAGUGGGGAAUAUUGGGCGAUGGGCGCAAGCCUGAUCCAGCCAUACCGCGUAGGUGAAGAAGGCCUUCGGGUUGUAGAGCCCUUUUGUUGGGAAAGAAAAGCAGCAGGUUAAUACCCCGCUGUUCUGACGGUACCCAAAGAAUAAGCACCGGCUAACUUCGUG
rnacentral:rRNA from 1 species